rnacentral:rRNA from 1 species
UACGUAGGUGGCAAGCGUUGUCCGGAUUUACUGGGCGUAAAGAGCGCGCAGGCGGUCGUUCAAGUCGCGUGUGAAAGCCCCCGGCUCAACUGGGGAGGGUCACGCGAUACUGAUCGACUCGAAGGCAGGAGAGGGAAGUGGAAUUCCCGGUGUAGUGGUGAAAUGCGUAGAUAUCGGGGAGGAACACCAGUGGCGAAGGCGACUUCCUGGCCUGUUCUUGACGCUGAGGCGCGAAAGCUAGGGGAGCAAAGCGGG